GUAACAAAUUCUUUUAAGUUGACUCAAUAAUUUUUGUGUGUGUGUGUGUGGGUUUCAGACUUUGUACCGGGGUAUUUUUUGGGUAUUGGUGUGUUACAUGUGUCUACUGAAUUUCACUUUGUUGCAAUUUUAUAGGUGGUGCUAUCGAGCCAUUUUGCCACACCCACUUAUGAAACCCAUAUCAGAUGUAAAUUGUCUCGCACCACCGGAUGCUUGGACCCCAAUUACUGCUAUUUUCUGGUCUUUAUCCAUUCAGUCAGAUUUUGUACAGCAAAACAUCCAUGACAGCUGUUGUCCAUGCUAAAAAUGUAAUAAUUAAUGUAAACACAGAUAUCGGAUACCAGUCGUGUCUAAAGUGAAUGUAAAUAGACGUGCCAAAGAAUUGGAUAUGGUCAAAAUAUCAGAUCUGUGCAUUAAGACUUGCAUCAGGUUAUGAAUCAUAAAAAAAAGUUGCACUACUAGUUGUUGAUGUCAAACUUUGACUAAAAUUUUUAUAUAAUAUAAUUUCAUAAGUCCUUGAAUAAAUGUGACCCUGGACCACAAAACCAGUCAUAAGUGUCAAUUUUUCGAAAUUGAAAGCUGAAUAAACAAGCUUUCCACUGAUGUAUGGUUUGUUAGGAUAUGACAAUAUUUGGCACAAGAUACAACUAUUUGAAAAUCUGGAAUCUGAGGGUGCAAAAAAAUCUAAAUAUUGAGACAAUCACCUUUAAAGUUGUUCAAGUGAAGUUCUUAGCAAUGCAUAUAACUAAUCAACAAUUAAGUUUUGAUAUGUUUAUGGUAGGAAAUUUACAAAAUAUCUUAAUGGAACAUGAUCUUUACUUAAUAUCCUAAUGAUUUUUGGCAUUAAAGAAAAAUAACUUUGCUACAAAUAUACACAUGCUACGUAAGACUUGACAGAAUCCAUUCUCUUUGCUUUCACUGUCUGGGAAAGAGCAACUUGGAUAUCUACAAAAUACUUCCUUUUGAACCUGCUGAUCAUCAGACGUGACGCAGCAACGUCUUGGAAGCCCGUCUGAGCCAGUUUACUCAAGACGCACCUCGCUAAACCAUGGACAGCUGCCUUCCGUUUCAGAAACAUCCGUGGAAAGUCAUGACGUUGCUGAAUAUCCGGUCCUGAUUAGAAAUUCUCUGCUUCGGUGGUUUAUCACAGUCCAUCUCAACAGAUCUCCACUCCGGAGAAAACACAUCCCCACUCACCCCACACCCUCAGAAAAACCGCAGACUCAUUCAGAUAAACACCAUUCAUGCAUAGAAUGAAAAACCACUUUGACUCCUCACUUAAUUUGGUCAUUAAUCUUUUACAGAUCGGAUGUGCACUUCUAGGUUCGUUGGGUGAAACUUUCACAUCUGUGGUUAAUUACGAAGAGUGGAGAACGCUGAUCUUUGUGGCUACGUCUUGAUAACACAAAUCCAUGCCCAAGUGAACAGGGCGCCUUGCGCUCCAGGGAACCGACUUGUCUUCAUUUUUGGUUUAACCUGACUGUAAACUUGUCAUCAUGUUUCCCGCUGUGGUAGAAGCACCCUCAGUGUGCAGUCCCAAAAACCUGGGCAAACUUGUGAGCAAAAGUG